GCUGACACAUCCCGGCCAAUCUCUAGCAGACCCUCCCUCCCAGACCCUGCCACCUCCUGGACAGCAUCCAUGUUGAAGCUGCCUUCAACAUGGAUGCUGUCCAGGAGGUGGGAGGGUCUGGGAGGGAGGGUCUGCUGGAGAUUGGCCGGGAUGUGUCAG